UACGAAGGGGGCUAGCGUUGCUCGGAGUCACUGGGCGUAAAGCGCACGUAGGCGGAUUGCUAAGUCAGGGGUGAAAUCCUGGAGCUCAACUCCAGAACUGCCUUUGAUACUGAGGAUCUUGAGUUCGGGAGAGGUGAGUGGAACUGCGAGUGUAGAGGUGAAAUUCGUAGAUAUUCGCAAGAACACCAGUGGCGAAGGCGGCUCACUGGCCCGAUACUGACGCUGAGGCACGAAAGCGUGGGGAGCAAACAGG
rnacentral:rRNA from 1 species